AGAGUUUGAUCAUGGCUCAGGAUGAACGCUGGCGGCGUGCUUAACACAUGCAAGUCGGAACGGAGACAUAUUUUGAAGUUUUCGGAUGGAAAGAUAUGUUCUUAGUGGCGGACGGGUGAGUAAUGUAUGAGCAACCUACCGUUUAAGAGGGGGACAACAGUUGGAAACGACUGCUAAUACCGCAUAAUGCGAAUUUGCCGCAUGGCAGAUUUUGUCAAAGGGAGCAAUCCGC
rnacentral:rRNA from 1 species